rnacentral:lncRNA from 1 species
UUCUUUUGCUCUUCUUAUAAAGCCACAAGUCUGAUCAUGGAAGCACCACCCCAAUGAUCUUAUCUCAUUCUAAUUACCUCUCAAAGGUCUCACCUGUAAAUAUCAUCAACAUCUGAAUUUAAGUUUUCAACAUAUGAAAUUUGGUGGAUAUAGUCAAACUGUAGCAGUCAUGAAGCAAGAAUCGAAUACUUUCAAAGACUUUGAAUCAUAUAGAAUGUUUUCUCUUCACAACAGAAAAAAUUAUAAAUCAAUAACAAGAAGAUAUCUGGGAUAUUUUCAGGGAGAAGUAAACAUCUACAUAUUUCUGAAUUUCAAAAAGAAUCGAAAACAUUCGAGAUUGUCAGAAGAAGCAAAGUUCAUCUUAGCACUGACUCAACAGGAAAUUUCUCAAGUGGAAUUUUACAUCAGGAUGCUGUGUGAUAUAAAAUAAACAAUGGUGUCAAUAAUAUUCUGCAAUAAAUGCAGUAAGAAUGUAUUUUCUGUCAUGUUCUCUGAUAAAAGCUGAAAAUAUGCCAUUAUCAAACACACCCCCAGUAGCAAUUCUACAAAAUUUAAAAUAAAUAUCAUCCAAAAAUAUAUGCUUUCUCACCUCGAGGUAAAACUUAAAUUAUCUAGAGGGGUGGAAACCAGCAUAUCAAUUUUACCUGCACACAGAAAUGCUGGCAAAUGGAAAGGAAUGAUACUCUAUUUCUAUAGAUGUCACUUUAAGAUGGCACCAUAACUCAUAACUCAGAACUCAGAAGAAAUUGUAGGGUAGUUGUUAUUUAUAAUUGGGAUGUAUUUAUAUGCAAAGUACCCAGUUCUAGAACUGGACAAAAAUUUUAAUAUGGCUGCUAAAAUAAAUGGCAUAAACUGUGUUCUCAUCUCUUCUACAAAAACAUACAUUUUCCAUUUCUGGAUCCUGCAGUUCCUUGAACUAUCUUCCAACCAGCAGGUAGUUAUCCCAGUCUAGAAAAUGUAACAUUUGCAAAUUGCUAAGCCUCUCAAAGUAUAAAAUAAAUUCUAGGCUCAGUUUUUUCAUCAGAAAUUCUGCCCUUACUAUAUCAAUAGUAUUAAUUUCAGAAAUGAGCAAAAUGAUCUGUUUAUAUCAAAAAAAGAUUUGAUGGUGUCAGGCAGGAGAGAUGUUUCCUGUCAUGCCUUAUUUACAUCAUAAUAUGAUGUCUUAGAAUUGAGCUUAUACAAUGGAGUCUGUGCUUGUGGACCUGUAGGUUAUAUGUUAUCUCUCUAAUAGACUGCCUGUAAUUUCAGAUGACAAAUAUUUUCUCACAUUAUCCAAAAUAAGGAAAUAGAUGCUGCUACAUAUAUGGGCAGAAAAUCUUGAGAAUCUACUUAUGUAUUGCAGCACAGCUGAGAAUGAAACUUGUCAGCUCAGUGGCUUUAGGCAUCUCUGUGUAUCUGUGCCUAUGUGAGAAUAAGUUGGUAUGUUUGGUUUCUUGCUCUGGUAGUUAUGAGUGUAAAACCACUAUAGAAUGUUAGCUGGUAUCCAUAGCUCAUACACACAUUAAUAAGUGAUAUAUUAGUUUGUGAAGGAAAUAAAGUUUUAUUCUAAAUAUGUAAUCCUUUUAUCAAUUUUCCUGUUGUAGUGCAAGUGCUAAAGUCUCUCCCCUAUGCAGUUUUACUCAGAAGAUACGUGUACCUUUGACAAUUGCAGCCCUCUCUCAAUAAAGGUUGAGAAUAAUACAGAAUAUCUAUAAAAAUAUACCAGCAUAAUUUUCUAUCCAAACAUAAAAUAUGUCUAAGUUUGAUAAUUAGUAUAUAACUUUACAUAUGUUCCUUUUUGAAAGAAGACUCAACAUUUCACUAAACUAAUAAAAUGCCAUUAAAUUUGCUUGAAAUAUUAAUUAGUCAAAUCACAAAAGGAACCUUUAUGCCUUCUCCUCUCCAAAGCAUGGUUAGCAGUUCAGCUGUUACAGUUCCCUCUUCUAAUCUCUAUCAGAAGACAGUUAAACAGCACAACAGACAUUACAUGCAGUAGGCUGUAGGAAUACAAAUAUUGGUACCAUGGAAGGCAUAAUUGCAUGGUUUUAGUCUAUUUUAUGAAGCUCCACCAAUAGAUGUAGAUUUUCAACUAGAAAACUCUCUGGAAAUAAGGUACUGUUGCUACACUUUAUGUUCAUGUAAAGUCAUGUUAGACAUAUCAUGAGAAUAAAUUGAAACUAAUUAUCUUUUAAAAUCUAUGGUUACCAUGAAAAAUAAUAAAAGCAUUCAUACUGUGGAUAUCAUUAAAUAAAACAAUGAAAAUUUGUUAAAAAUUUUAUCAGUGAUUAUUUUAACCGUAAAUACUAAGACAAUAGAAACAAACUAUUAGGCAAUCGUUUAUGGUAAGAAGAAAAGUUAAGACUUGUGUCAUUAAUCAUUUACAACAAUGCAUCAAGGAUAAAACAAACCACAAAAACAAAUUAAUCGAGUGUAUAUCUCUUCAUAAAAUAUAGUUCCAGUGACUUGUGAUUUUGUUAAAAAUUUUUAUUCUAUUUCAAAGUGUUUUAAGAAGCACCUAAUUAAAACAUAGUUCCAGUGACUUGUAAUUUUGUUAAAAAAUUAUGUUUCAAAAUGCUUUAAGAAGCAUCUAAUUAAAAUAUGGUAAUGGAAUAUUUUUGUACAGGCAAACAAAUUGCUACCCACAGUCAUGUAACAAACCUGCACAUUCUGCACAUGUAUCCCAUUUUUUAGAAGAAAUUAAAAUAAUUUACAAAUUGUAGGACUGCAAACAUUUGAUAUGUUUAUAAUUACAGCUGCAAUAGUGUAUGUAAUGGCUUUGUUUGAUACCAGCCUGGCCAAGGUGGCGAAACCCCGUCUCUACUAAAAAUACAAAAAUUAGCAGGCUGUGGUGGCAGGUGCCUGUAAUCUAGCUACUUAGAAGGCUGAGGCCUUAGAAUCCCUUGAAACCCAGGAGGUUGAGGCUGCUGUGAGCCAAGAUCAUGUCACUGCAUAACAGCCUGGGUGACAGAGGGAGACUGUCUCAAAAAAGAGAGUAUUAGAUAUACAAUAAAGUGCACAUAUUUAUAGUUUAUUAUUUGCUAAGAUUGAUAUAUGUAUACUCUGUGUAUACCCUGUGAAACCACCCCUAUAGUCAAUUAUGAACAUAUCUACUACCCAGAAAAGUUUCCUCAUGUCCUUAUGUAAUAACACCCUCAUGCCACUCCCUAGGCAAGCUAAUGUGCCACUAUAGAUUAGUUCGCAUAUUCUAGCAUUUUAUGUAAAUAAAAUAAAACACUAUUCUUAUUUGUGUGGCUUCAUUCUAGAAAAACUAUUUCAGGAUUCAUCUUUGUUGUUGCUUCUAUAGUUUUUGGUUUGUUUUGGUUUUUGCUAUGUAAUAUUGCAUUGUAUGGAGGUACCAGAACUUGUUUAUCCAUUAAUCUAUUGUGAAUAUUUGGAUUGUUUUCAAUUUCUGGUUACUGCAAGUAAAGCUGCUAUGAAGUUGUGGACAAAUCUUUGUAUGGACAUAAGUUUUCAAUUCUCUUGGAUAAACAACAAGGAGAAGAAUAUUUCAGUUAAAUGGAAGGUUAUUUUUAACAUCUUAUGAAACUGUCAAACUGUUUUCCAAAGUGGUUGUACGAUUUUGCCUUCUUACCAGCAGUAUAUGAGAGUUCUGACUCUUCUACACCCUCACCAACAAAUCUGUAAUUCUUUAAAAAGCCUGGCCUUAGCAAAUGUUGCCAAGGAUGAAGAAAAGCCAUGAGCUUUGAUAUUGUGUCCAUUUCAUCUAAGUUGACAAAUAUUUAGCAUAAAAUUGUUGUGAAGAUACUGAUACCCUUAUUUCCCCUUUGGUAUUUGUAAAAUCUGUGAUACAAUCACUCUUCUCAUUUCUUAUCCUGAUAAUUUGUGACAUCUACUUUGUUUCACCUUCUUGCUUUUCCAAAUCUUUUGCGAGAAUUUAUCAGUUUUAUUGACCUUUUUGAUAGUCAGCCUUUGGUUUCAUUGAUAUUUUCUUAUUUGUGUUUCUAUUUCAAUAUCUUUAUCUUUAUGCGAUGUUUAUAUAUUUAUAUCAAUAUUUCCUAUGAAAUCUACAUUAUUUAAUAUUAAUAUAGUUUCUCCAGCCUUCUUUUAGUGUGAAAAUGGUAUAUCAUUUAAAACUCUUUUUCACUAUUUGUAUGUAUAUAGAGAAAGUAUGCUGUUGAAGAUAGUUUUUAAUUCAGUUUGACAACUUCUUUUAACUGGAGCUUUUAACUUACAACCUUUUUUUAUUACCUUUUCCAUUUCUGUCUGCCUUCAUUUAAACUGAGCAUUUUUUAUAACUAUUUUCUUUAUGUUGGCUUGUUAACUAUAAUUCUUUGUUUUGUUAUUUUAUUUAUAGCUUUAGUGUUUAUAGAUUACACUUUUACUUUAUCACAAUCUAUCUUCAAGUAUUAUACCACUAUUUCCAAUUUCUCAAAAUCCAAAUUACAAAACAAAACAAACAAAAAAACCCUUUCAAGUUAUUUAGUUCUUUAUUCUAUUUUAGUUGCCUGCUAUCCUGAAAACUUACUUAAACUGGAG